CUUGUGACGUCACAUCAUAGAAGUGCAUGCACGUUUUGGGGUCAGAGACAGACAAUUAGGGCCUAAAGAGGGUUAUUGAAACACAAAUGAUCUUUUUGCCAGUGCCCUGUCUUGGUUUCCACUAGCUGGUUAUCAGAGAGUGUGUUCCUGAUCGCGUUUUUUUCUGGUAUUUGACUUUAGCUUUGUUUUGACUUCCCUGAUUUCUGGUAUCCUUGACUUCUGGCUUUUCUCAUCGUUGCGUCUCAUUCUGUGUCCCUGACCUCGGCAUGUAUUUUGACUAUUCU